GAUGAACGCUAGCGGCAGGCCUAAUACAUGCAAGUCGAACGGUGUCUUCGGACAUAGUGGCGCACGGGUGCGUAACACGUAUGCAACCUACCUUACAUUGGGGGAUAGCCUUUCGAAAGGGAGAUUAAUACCGCAUAAGACAGUAGCUGGGCAUCCAGCAGCUGUUAAAGAUUUAUCGAUGUAAGCUGGGCAUGCGUCCAAUUAGCUAGUUGGUGAGGUAACGGCUCACCAAGGCAAUGAUUGGUAGGGGAACUGAGAGGUCAAUCCCCCACACUGGCACUGAGAUACGGGUCAGGCUCCUACGGGAGGCAGCAGUAGGGAAUAUUGGGCAAUGGACGCAAGUCUGACCCAGCCAUGCCGCGUGCAGGAUGAAGGCGUUAUGCGUUGUAAACUGCUUUUAUACAGGAAGAAACGACUCUUGCGAGAGGCAUUGACGGUACUGUAUGAAUAAGCACCGGCUAACUCCGUGCCAGCCGCCGCGGUAAGAC
rnacentral:rRNA from 1 species